UACGUAGGGUGCGAGCGUUGUCCGGAAUUAUUGGGCGUAAAGAGCUCGUAGGCGGUGUGUCGCGUCGGCCGUGAAAACCUGCAGCUUAACUGUGGGCUUGCGGUCGAUACGGGCAUCACUGGAGUUCGGCAGGGGAGACUGGAAUUCCUGGUGUAGCGUGAAAUGCGCAGAUAUCAGGAGGAACACCGGUGCGAAGGCGGGUCUCUGGGCCGAUACUGACGCUGAGGAGCGAAAGCGUGGGGAGCGAACAGG
rnacentral:rRNA from 1 species